GACGAACGCUGACAGAAUGCUUAACACAUGCAAGUCGAUGGGGAAGUGGUGCUUUCACCAUGGCCACCAUGGCGGACGGGUGAGUAACGCGUAAGGGACUUACCUGCAGGACUGGGAUAACAGGGGGAAACUCCUGACAAGAUCGGAUAAUGUCAUGGAGCUGCAUGGCUUUAUGAUGAAAGGAGACGCCUGCGGAGAGCCUUGCGUCCUAUUAGCUAGUUGGUGAGGUAAUGGCUCACCAAGGCGAAGAUAGGUAGCCGGCCUGAGAGGGUGGACGGCCACAAGGAGACUGAGAUACGGCCGUUACUCCUACGAGGGGCAGCAGUGGAGAAUAGUGGACAGUGGGGGCAACCCUGAUACCGCAGUUCUGUGUGGACGAAGAAGGUUUUCGGAUUGUAAAGUGCUUUCAGCAGGGGAGAAGUAAGUGACGGUACCUGCAGAAGAAGCGACGGCUAACUACGUG
rnacentral:rRNA from 1 species